rnacentral:rRNA from 1 species
GGGGAAUAUUGCACAAUGGGGGAAACCCUGAUGCAGCGACGCCGCGUGAGUGAAGAAGUAUUUCGGUAUGUAAAGCUCUAUCAGCAGGGAAGAAAAUGACGGUACCUGACUAAGAAGCCCCGGCUAACUACGUGCCAGCAGCCGCGGUAAUACGUAGGGGGCAAGCGUUAUCCGGAUUUACUGGGUGUAAAGGGAGCGUAGGUGGCAAAUCAAGUCAGAUGUGAAAGCCCGGGGCUCAACUCCGGGAUUGCAUUUGAAACUGGUAUGCUAGAGUGCAGGAGAGGUAAGUGGAAUUCCUAGUGUAGCGGUGAAAUGCGUAGAUAUUAGGAGGAACACCAGUGGCGAAGGCGGCUUACUGGACUGUAACUGACACUGAGGCUCGAAAGCGUGGGGAGCAAAC